UGCAAGUUGCGCACCUAUACUGCGACAGCCGACCUAAAGCAUGGCCUCUCUCUCCCCUAGCCACUUGCUACCUGCAAAAAAGGAAGAGAAAUCAACAAUUUAAAAGGGUUUUCAAACCCCCAAUUUGGGCAGCGAAGAAAGGAAGAAAAAAGAAAAAAACAACAAAAUUUUUGAGAGAAAAAUCAAGCAAAAAUAGCAGCCUCAUCGCCACCGUGCGUCGUCGAACCGCCACCACCGUCAUACUCCCAUCUACCACCACCAAAGAAAGCAAAUCAAGCAAAAAAAAUCAUCAAAAAAAAUACCCACGAAAAAAAAAGCAAGCAAAGAAGAAAAAAAGAAGAAAAGGGAGGAGCGUCGUCGGCCGUCGCACCACAAGCGGAAGAAGCGUGGGCAGCAGUAGAGAAGUCGGUGGGGGGGCUGAACGAAGAAGAAAGGAAAAAGAAGAAGAAAAAAAAGAAAGAAAAAAGAAGAAGAAGAAAGAAAAAGAGAAAGAAAGAAGGAAGAAGAAGAAGAAGAAGAAGAAGAAAGAAAAAGAAAAAAGAAAGAGAAAAAAGGAAAAAGGAAAAAAAUAUUUUAUAUUACACUCGGGUCAACCCGACCCGACUGGCGUGACCCGACAACCCGAAGACUCGACCCGACCCGCGAUCCGACCCAGAUCUGAACCCAGCAACCCCCCCCAAAAAGGGGAAAACAGGCCUAAAAAAAGUAGCCCAGAAAAAAAAAAGAAGAGCAGGCCAGCAGCAGCCCCAGGCCCAGACCAGUGCAGCCCAACAGUAGUGAAGCAGGCC
rnacentral:lncRNA from 1 species